rnacentral:rRNA from 1 species
UACGGGAGGCAGCAGUGGGGAAUAUUGCACAAUGGGCGAAAGCCUGAUGCAGCUAUGCCGCGUGUAUGAAGAAGGCCUUAGGGUUGUAAAGUACUUUCAUCGGGGAGGAAAAAACAAAACUAAUAAUUUUAUUUCUUGACGUUACCCGAAAAAGAAGCACCGGCUAACUCCGUGCCAGCAGCCGCGGUAAUACGGAGGGUGCUAGCGUUAAUCAGAAUUACUGGGCGUAAAGAGCACGUAGGUGGUUUUUUAAGUCAGAUGUGAAAUCCCUGGGCUUAACCUAGGAACUGCAUUUUGAAACUGAAAUACUAGAGUAUCGUAGAGGGAGGUAGAAUUCUAGGUGUAGCGGUGAAAUGCGUAGAUAUCUGGAGGAAUACCUGUGGCGAAAGCGGCCUCCUAAACGAAUACUGACACUGAGGUGCGAAAGCGUUGGGGAGCAAACAGGGAUUAGAUACC